rnacentral:rRNA from 1 species
UACGAAGGGUGCAAGCGUUACUCGGAAUUACUGGGCGUAAAGCGUGCGUAGGUGGUUUGUUAAGUCUGUUGUGAAAGCCCCGGGCUCAACCUGGGAAUGGCAAUGGAUACUGGCAAGCUAGAGUGCGGUAGAGGGUAGUGGAAUUCCCGGUGUAGCGGUGAAAUGCGUAGAGAUCGGGAGGAACACCGGUGGCGAAGGCGGAUCUCUGGGCCAUUACUGACGCUGAGGAGCGAAAGCGUGGGGAGCGAACAGG